rnacentral:rRNA from 1 species
GACGGAGGAUGCAAGCGUUAUCCGGAAUUAUUGGGCGUAAAGCGUUCGCAGGUGGCUGUGCGUGUCUACUGUCAAAGAAUGGUGCUUAACAUGAUAAAGGCAGUAGAAACUACACGACUAGAGUGCGUUCGGGGCAGAGGGAAUUCCUGGUGUAGCGGUGAAAUGCGUAGAGAUCAGGAAGAACACCGGUGGCGAAAGCGCUCUGCUAGGCCGCAACUGACACUGAGGGACGAAAGCUAGGGGAGCGAAUGGG